GACGAACGCUGGCGGCGUGCCUAAUACAUGCAAGUUGAGCGAUGAAGAUUGGUGCUUGCACCAAUUUGAAGAGCAGCGAACGGGUGAGUAACGCGUGGGGAAUCUGCCUUUGAGCGGGGGACAACAUUUGGAAACGAAUGCUAAUACCGCAUAACAACUUUAAACAUAAGUUUUAAGUUUGAAAGAUGCAAUUGCAUCACUCAAAGAUGAUCCCGCGUUGUAUUAGCUAGUUGGUGAGGUAAAGGCUCACCAAGGCGAUGAUACAUAGCCGACCUGAGAGGGGGAGCGGCCAAAUUGGGACGGGGACAAGGCCCAAACGCCUACGGGAGGCAGCAGUAGGGAAACUUCGGAAAUGGACGAAAGUCUGAACGAGCAAAGCCGCGGGAGUGAAGAAGGGUGUCGGAUCGGAAAACUCGGUUGGUAGAGAAGAACGUUGGUGAGAGUGGAAAGCGCAUCAAGUGACGGUAACUACACAGAAAGGGACGGCUAACUACGUG
rnacentral:rRNA from 1 species